CACCGCGGUUAUACGAGAAGCCCAAGUUGACAAGCCAACGGCAUAAAAAGUGGUUAGUAUCUUAUUUAACUAAAGCCAAACACCUUCAAAGUCGUUAUACACUACUGAAGGAGGGAAGUUCCCCCACGAAAGUGGCUUUAAACUAUACAACCCCACGAAAGCUAGGAAA
rnacentral:rRNA from 1 species